AUUGAACGCUGGCGGCACGCUUUACACAUGCAAGUCGAACGGUAACAGGUUAAGCUGACGAGUGGCGAACGGGUGAGUAAUGCAUCGGAACGUGCCCGAUCGUGGGGGAUAACGCAGCGAAAGCUGCGCUAAUACCGCAUACGAUCUGAGGAUGAAAGCGGGGGACCGUAAGGCCUCGCGCGAUCGGAGCGGCCGAUGUCAGAUUAGGUAGUUGGUGGGGUAAAGGCUCACCAAGCCAACGAUCUGUAGCUGGUCUGAGAGGACGACCAGCCAAACUGGGACUGGGACACGGCCCAGACUCCUACGGGAGGCAGCAGUGGGGAAUUUUGGACAAUGGGCGAAAGCCUGAUCCAGCAAUGCCGCGUGCAGGAAGAAGGCCUUCGGGUUGUAAACUGCUUUUGUACGGAGCGAAAAGGCUCUCUCUAAUACAGGGGGCUCAUGACGGUACCGUAAGAAUAAGCACCGGCUAACUACGUGCCAGCCGCCGCAGUAAGAC
rnacentral:rRNA from 1 species